rnacentral:rRNA from 1 species
UACGAGAGGCCCAAACGUUAUUCGGAUUUACUGGGCGUAAAGGGCGCGUAGGCGGCGUGGUAAGUCACUUGUGAAAUCUCUGAGCUUAACUCAGAACGGCCAAGUGAUACUGCUGUGCUAGAGUGCAGAAGGGGCAAUCGGAAUUCUUGGUGUAGCGGUGAAAUGCGUAGAUAUCAAGAGGAACACCUGAGGUGAAGACGGGUUGCUGGGCUGACACUGACGCUGAGGCGCGAAAGCCAGGGGAGCAAACGGG